rnacentral:pre_miRNA from 1 species
GGUGUCGGCGUCAUCCCGGCGGAGGCCGGGAUCUCAGGAGAUGGGGUGGCUGAUCCUCUCCCGAGAUCCCGGCCUCCGCCGGGAUGACGCUGUUGGA